UACGGAGGGGGCUAGCGUUGUUCGGAAUUACUGGGCGUAAAGGGCGUGUAGGCGGUAUAUCAAGUCAGGCGUGAAAGCCCUGGGCUCAACCUAGGAGGUGCGCAUGAGACUGAUAGACUAGAGAUCGGGAGAGGAGAGUAGAAUUUCCAGUGUAGAGGUGAAAUUCGUAGAUAUUGGGAAGAACACCAGUGGCGAAGGCGGCUAACUGGUCCAGAUCUGACGCUGAGGUGCGAAAGCGUGGGGAGCAAACAGG
rnacentral:rRNA from 1 species